rnacentral:rRNA from 1 species
GAUGAACGCUGGCGGCGUGCUUAACACAUGCAAGUCGAACGGAAAGGCUCCUGCUUGCAGGGGUACUCGAGUGGCGAACGGGUGAGUAACACGUGGGUGAUCUGCCCUGCACUUCGGGAUAAGCCUGGGAAACUGGGUCUAAUACCGGAUAGGACGAUGGUUUGGAUGCCAUUGUGGAAAGUUUUUCGGGGUGGGAUGAGCUCGCGGCCUAUCAGCUUGUUGGUGGGGUAAUGGCCUACCAAGGCGUCGACGGGUAGCCGGCCUGAGAGGGUGUACGGCCACAAUGGGACUGAGAUACGGCCCAGACUCCUACGGGAGGCAGCAGUGGGGAAUAUUGCACAAUAGGCGCAAGCCUGAUGCAGCGACGCCGCGUGGGGGAUGACGGCCUUCGGGUUGUAAACUCCUUUCGCUAGGGACGAAGCGCAAGUGACGGUACCUGGAGAAGAAGCACCGGCUAACUACGUG